rnacentral:rRNA from 1 species
AGCGAACGCUGGCGGCAGGCUUAACACAUGCAAGUCGAACGCCCCGCAAGGGGAGUGGCAGACGGGUGAGUAACACGUGGGAACGUACCCUUUGGUUCGGAAUAACUUGGGGAAACUCAAGCUAAUACCGGAUAAGCCCUUAUGGGGAAAGGUUUACUGCCGAAGGAUCGGCCCGCGUCUGAUUAGCUAGUUGGUGAGGUAAUGGCUCACCAAGGCGACGAUCAGUAGCUGGUCUGAGAGGAUGAUCAGCCACACUGGGACUGAGACACGGCCCAGACUCCUACGGGAGGCAGCAGUGGGGAAUAUUGGACAAUGGGGGCAACCCUGAUCCAGCCAUGCCGCGUGAAUGAUGUAGGCCUUAGGGUUGUAAAGCUCUUUUACCCGGGACGAUAAUGACUGUACCGGGAGAAUAAGCCCCGGCUAACUUCGUGCCAGCCGCCGCGGUAA